rnacentral:rRNA from 1 species
CGGCCGAUAUCUGAUUAGCUAGUUGGUGGGGUAAAGGCCUACCAAGGCGACGAUCAGUAGCGGGUCUGAGAGGAUGAUCCGCCACACUGGGACUGAGACACGGCCCAGACUCCUACGGGAGGCAGCAGUGGGGAAUUUUGGACAAUGGGCGCAAGCCUGAUCCAGCCAUGCCGCGUGUCUGAAGAAGGCCUUCGGGUUGUAAAGGACUUUUGUCAGGGAAGAAAAGGACGGGGUUAAUACCCCUGUUUGAUGACGGUACCUGAAGAAUAAGCACCGGCUAACUACGUGCCAGCAGCCGCGGUAAUACGUAGGGUGCGAGCGUUAAUCGGAAUUACUGGGCGUAAAGCGAGCGCAGACGGUUACUUAAGCAGGAUGUGAAAUCCCCGGGCUCAACCUGGGAACUGCGUUCUGAACUGGGUGACUAGAGUGUGUCAGAGGGAGGUAGAAUUCCACGUGUAGCAGUGAAAUGCGUAGAGAUGUGGAGGAAUACCGAUGGCGAAGGCAGCCUCCUGGGAUAACACUGACGUUCAUGCUCGAAAGCGUGGGUAGCAAACAGGAUUAGAUACCCUGGUAGUCCACGCCCUAAACGAUGUCAAUUAGCUGUUGGGCAGCUUGACUGCUUAGUAGCGUAGCUAACGCGUGA